CCUACGGGGAGCAGCAGUGAGGAAUAUUGGUCAAUGGGCGCGAGCCUGAACCAGCCAAGUAGCGUGAAGGAUGACUGCCCUACGGGUUGUAAACUUCUUUUAUAAAGGAAUAAAGUGAGGCACGUGUGCCUUUUUGUAUGUACUUUAUGAAUAAGGAUCGGCUAACUCCGUGCCAGCAGCCGCGGUAAUACGGAGGAUCCGAGCGUUAUCCGGAUUUAUUGGGUGUAAAGGGAGCGGAGAUGGGUUGUUAAGUCAGUUGUGAAAGUUUGCGGCUCAACCGUAAAAGUGCAAUUGAUACGGGCAGGCUUGAGUACAGUUGAGGUAGGCGGAAUUCGUGGUGUAGCGGUGAAAUGCUUAGAUAUCACGAAGAACUCCGAUUGCGAAGGCAGCUUACUAAACUGCCACUGACAUUGAGGCUCGAAAGUGUGGGUAUCAAACAGGAUUAGAUACCCGAGUAGUC
rnacentral:rRNA from 1 species